GCACCUGCACCUACUAAACCCCAGUGCAAUAACCAUUACUCCCAUUGAAUGAAGAAAUGUCAGCUUUCUAUCCUUGAAUAUUUAGAAUCCUCCACUGCAAUAAGCAUUUUUCGAAGUGAUCACCUCAAAUCAUAUUUUUCCUUAAUCAACUUGUUGAAUUUGUGAUUACACACUCCAACAAACAAGAGAGAAUGGCCCCAGUGCAAUGGUCAAGAAUUCUCACAAUUUACA
rnacentral:misc_RNA from 1 species